rnacentral:rRNA from 1 species
AGAGUUUGAUCCUGGCUCAGAACGAACGCUGGCGGCGUGCUUAACACAUGCAAGUCGAACGUGAAAGUGGCUUCGGCCAUGAGUAAAGUGGCAGACGGGUGAGUAACACGUGGGUAACCUAUCCCUUGGCGGGGAAUAACCACUCGAAAGGGUGGCUAAUACCGCAUAAGACCACGUCCCUGAUGGGAUGAGGUAAAAGAUUUAUCACCAGGGGAGGGGCCCGCGGCAGAUUAGCUAGUUGGUGAGGUAACGGCUCACCAAGGCGACGAUCAAUAGCCGACCUGAGAGGGUGAUCGGCCACACUGGAACUGAGACACGGUCCAGACUCCUACGGGAGGCAGCAGUGGGGAAUAUUGCACAAUGGGCGCAAGCCUGAUGCAGCAACGCCGCGUGAGUGAUGAAGGCCUUCGGGUCGUAAAACUCUGUCCUAUGGGAAGAAAAAAAUGACGGUACCAUAGGAGGAAGCCCCGGCUAACUACGUGCCAGCAGCCGCGGUAAUACGUAGGGGGCAAGCGUUAUCCGGAAUCACUGGGCGUAAAGGGUGCGUAGGUGGCUGAUCAAGCCAGGGGUGAAAGGCAUUGGCUCAACCAAUGUAAGCCUUUGGAACUGAUCGGCUUGAGUGCAGGAGAGGUAAGUGGAAUUCCUAGUGUAGAGGUGAAAUUCGUAGAUAUUAGGAGGAACACCAGUGGCGAAGGCGACUUACUGGACUGUAACUGACACUGAGGCACGAAAGCGUGGGGAGCGAACAGGAUUAGAUACCCUGGUAGUCC